UCCUACGGGAGGCAGCAGUCGAGAGGCUUCGGCAAUGGGGGAAACCCUGACCGAGCGACGCCGCGUGGAGGAUGAAGGCCUUUGGGUUGUAAACUCCUGUCAUGUGGGAUGAAACGCUACCGUUCGAAUAGGGCGGUAGUUUGACGGUACCACAAGAGGAAGCUCCGGCUAACUCCGUGCCAGCAGCCGCGGUAAU
rnacentral:rRNA from 1 species